rnacentral:misc_RNA from 1 species
AAACUGCGAUAAGUAGUGUGAAUUGCAUUUAGUGAAUCAUCGAAUCUUUGAACGCACAUUGCGCCCCUUGGUAUUCCAUGGGGCAUGCCUGUUCGAGCGUCAUCUACACCCUCAAGCUCUGCUUGGUGUUGGGCGUCUUUGUCCCGCCUCCGCGCGCGGACUCGCCCCAAAUUCAUUGGCAGCGGUCCUUGCCUCCUCUCGCGCAGCACAUUGCGCUUCUCGAGGUGUUGCGGCCCGCGUCCAGAAAGCAAUCGUUACCGUCUUUGACCUCGGAUCAGGUAGGGAUACCCGCUGAACUUAAGC